rnacentral:rRNA from 1 species
UACGGAGGAUGCGAGCGUUAUCCGGAUUUAUUGGGUUUAAAGGGUGCGUAGGCGGAUUGAUAAGUCAGUGGUGAAAACCUGCAGCUUAACUGUAGACUUGCCGUUGAUACUGUCAGUCUUGAGUGUGGUCAAGGUAGGCGGAAUGUGUAAUGUAGCGGUGAAAUGCUUAGAUAUUACACAGAAUACCGAUUGCGAAGGCAGCUUACUGGGCCAUUACUGACGCUGAUGCACGAAAGCGUGGGGAUCGAACAGGAUUAGAUACCCUGGUAGUCCACGCCGUAAACGAUGAUCACUCGCUGUUAGCGAUACACAGUUAGCGGCUAAGCAAAAGCAUUAAGUGAUCCACCUGGGGAGUACGGCCGCAAGGCUGAA